rnacentral:rRNA from 1 species
AGAGUUUGAUCCUGGCUCAGGAUGAACGCUGGCGGCGUGCUUAACACAUGCAAGUCGAACGAACCUUCGGGUUAGUGGCGGACGGGUGAGUAACGCGUGGGAAUCUGCCCUCAGGAGGGGGAUAACGGCCGGAAACGGCCGCUAAUACCCCAUAUGCCGAGAGGUGAAAUGAAUUUCGCCUGAGGAUGAGCCCGCGUCUGAUUAGCUAGUUGGUGAGGUAAGAGCUCACCAAGGCUACGAUAGAUAGGGGGCCUGAAAGGGUGAUCCCCCACACUGGUACUGAGACACGGACCAGACUCCUACGGGAGGCAGCAGUGAGGAAUAUUGGACAAUGGAGGCAACUCUGAUCCAGCCAUGCCGCGUGCAGGAAGACUGCCCUAUGGGUUGUAAACUGCUUUUAUACAGGAAGAAACACCUCUACGUGUAGAGGCUUGACGGUACUGUAAGAAUAAGGAUCGGCUAACUCCGUGCCAGCAGCCGCGGUAAUACGGAGGAUCCAAGCGUUAUCCGGAAUUAUUGGGUUUAAAGGGUCCGUAGGUGGACAAUUAAGUCAGAGGUGAAAUCCUGCAGCUCAACUGUAGAAUUGCCUUUGAAACUGGUUGUCUUGAGUCAUUAUGAAGUGGUUAGAAUGUGUAGUGUAGCGGUGAAAUGCAUAGAUAUUACACAGAAUACCAAUUGCGAAGGCAGAUCACUAAUAAUGUACUGACACUGAUGGACGAAAGCGUGGGUAGCGAACAGGAUUAGAUACCCUGGUAGUCCACGCCGUAAACG